rnacentral:rRNA from 1 species
UGAGGAAUAUUGGUCAAUGGGAGCAAUCCUGAACCAGCAAUGCCGCGUGUGGGAUGACGGGGCUCAGCCCUGUAAACCACUGUCGGACGGGACGAAAGGAGCCUUCAGGGCUCUGGGACGGUACCGUCAAAGGAAGGGUCGGCUAACUACGUGCCAGCAGCCGCGGUAAUACGUAGGACCCGAGCGUUGUCCGGAAUUACUGGGUAUAAAGGGUGCGCAGGCGGCCGUGUGCGUCAGAGGUGAAAUCUCCGGGCUUAACCCGGAGGUGCCUUCGAUACGGCAUGGCUUGAGUCCGAGAGAGGGUGAUGGAAUUCCUGGUGUAGCAGUGAAAUGCGUAGAUAUCAGGAGGAACACCGGUGGCGAAGGCGGUCACCUGGCUCGGCACUGACGCUUAGGCACGAA